rnacentral:rRNA from 1 species
UACGAAGGGGGCUAGCGUUGCUCGGAAUUACUGGGCGUAAAGCGCACGUAGGCGGCUUCUUAAGUCGGUGGUGAAAUCCUGGAGCUCAACUCCAGAACUGCCUUCGAUACUGGGAAGCUCGAGUCCGGGAGAGGUGAGUGGAACUGCGAGUGUAGAGGUGAAAUUCGUAGAUAUUCGCAAGAACACCGGUGGCGAAGGCGGCCAUCUGGCUCGGUACUGACGCUCAGGUUCGAAAGCGUGGGGAGCAAACAGG